AAGUUCAUGGAGUACUGGAUCAGAGCUAAUGUUACAUUACACCAGGAUAAAACAUUUUGAAUUUGGAAUUGAUUGAUUUUUACUUGGAUUCUCCAUUCUGGUAACCAAUCUGAAAAUGGAAUAUUCUACAUUCACCGAUGAACAGCCGAAGAUAAGAGCUCAAUGAAUCGCUAAAAACAUUAGAAUGGGCAAAAUCUUUUGCACCAAUCCAAGCAUCAAGUUCAGGCGAUUGUGCAGCAUAUAUUUGAAACGGAGUUUGGAAAGGACGCAUUUCCCGCAACUCUUUCGAAAGCCGCUCUUUUAAUCCUGACAAGAAAUAAGUAAAGAUUUUUGUCAAAUACUUUGAUGUUUUUAUAAUCAAACUACCUAUGAAUUGUGAGCAUCCUCCUGUUAGAAAAAUGUUAUUAACCAAGCGCUGCUGCUCACCUUCUGGAAAUAACUUGAGCACAAAUUCAAUCAAUUCAGCAAGCCCCAUCUCAGAACAUCCUAUUAGGCUUGGCUGGAAUAUUACUUCUGGUGCUCGUAUAGACUCAACACUGAAAUGCAACUAAAUAAACAAAAAUACUAUAAUUUUUAAAAUUUGUAAGCAGUUUUUUCUAUUGAAGAAAAUCAUAACACCGUCAGUCAAAAAUUUUUCAAAAAUCAACGAUCUGUAAAACUAUCGAUGGUACCAAGGUGUAUUUAACAAGGUGGUGUUGGGGCGACAGCUGAGUUUUUCACCGUGGAGGGCAUUACGUCAAAAAGGACAGUGUGGAUAUCUGCAUAUAAUUUGUUAGUGUAAUUCUUUACUUACGCUUUGGAUGGUACUAUCGAUACUAUCGA
rnacentral:lncRNA from 1 species